CUUCCAUCUGGAAGAAUCUGGAGGACAGGUGCUGCAUGGCUGUCGUCAGCUCGUGUCGUGAGAUGUUGGGGUUAAGUCCCGCAACGAGCGCAACCCUUGCCUUUAGUUGCCAGCAGUUCGGCUGGGCACUCUAAAGGGACUGCCGGUGUUAAACCGGAGGAAGGUGGGGAUGACGUCAAGUCCUCAUGGCCUUUAUGACCAGGGCUACACACGUACUACAAUGGCCGAUACAAAGGGCAGCGACACUGCGAGGUGAAGCCAAUCCCGUAAAAUCGGUCUCAGUCCGGAUUGGAGUCUGCAACUCGACUCCAUGAAGUUGGAAUCGCUAGUAAUCGUGGAUCAGCAUGCCACGGUGAAUACGUUCCCGGGCCUU
rnacentral:rRNA from 1 species